rnacentral:lncRNA from 1 species
GCCCUUACUGCUCCCACAGCCAACAGAGGUAUCCGAGGGCAGAACACACUUGGAAACUGCAGGUACCAUAGGUAUGCUGGCACCACUUUGGGACAACAUAGGUUAACUUACCUGCAGAAAUGUUUUUGUAACUUGCACUUUCUGGACUUCAGUAGGCAAAGGGUAUAUAUUGUAAGCAGUAGCAUUUCUGACCUUCACUAGUGGUUAGGUUGUGUCAGGUUUGGUACGCCAGAGAGCAUACAGCUUGUAUAUUAAAUUUUAUAGCUCAGUUGUUCUCAAUACAGCACUUGCAGUCCGACUCUAAUUUUACUUGUGAUCUACUGUUCCUUUGUAUUUUUCCCUAGACUAUUUUGGUGUCACACAGAAGUAGGUACUGUGCUAUAUCUUUUUUCUCACAAAAGCAAAUUAAGUCAGUGGCAUUUGCUCAGUGUCCUCUUAAAGUCAUGCUUGAAUGUAGCAGUCACUGAGUUAGUUCUGGAGAUACCUGCUGCUAAUUUAAUACUUGGACAUUUAUUUAUCACAAUGGCUAUUACAAUGUGAUCAGGUUCCAGCUUGGUAAUCUUAAAAGGUGUUACUUUGUUGAGUAAUGAAAAAUGGGUUACAGCUCCAAGUGAGUAUGGCCGAUGUUUUUAUCUGUCUUGCUGAUAAUUUACUCGUCAAUAAAUUAUAAACAUAUGUAAUGUGUAAUGAGCCAUUUUCAGUUACAGUUCCUUCCUUUUUAGCUUGUGUGUUAAUUAGAUCCUUUUCCAGGUACUGGCACCAUGUGUAGCAAACACCAUUGUGCCCAGUAACACUCCUAGAUUUCUCAAGCAGUAGCUCCUCUAUUGCCAAGCCCCAGGUUAUAGGAGAGUAACUUGAGUUUUGUCAGCGUUCUGUUUUGAAGAUCUUUAAGGAGGUGUGUUUGCUUCUUCAUCUGUGAAAGAGAUGAAAUAUUUUACCAUGCAGUUACCUGAUCAUGUUUCAGUAACCAUUUUUUGACUUUGAAAAACCCCUCAGCUGGCGAUGAGGGUUCGUUGUGAGCUGGCUAUGUCACUGUACAGUAAACAUGAGCCUGCUGAAGUUAUCUUUUCAUAUUUUUCCUAUGCAACCACAGUGAUGGAGAUUGGGUAGGAAAGAAAGUGAGGGGGAAUUGUUGUAAUUUCUCCCAGAAUAGUCCUGUGUCAAUAUAUUCUCAUGGAAAUUCUGGAAUAAUUUUUCUGUCUUUUAGCUUUUAUUUGAAACUUGUCUAUAAAAAGGAAAUACUGCCAAUUUACCCAAGGAUCUAAUGUUCCAUAAUGUUCUCUUUUGAUUGUUAAUAAUAUUGUAAAUGCACUGAUAUUUACCUGCAGUCAUUGGACUAAAAAGGAAGGAAUAAGGAGGAUUAACAGGAUUGCUCCUAGCAGUGGUAUAAAGUCUACUUCAUGACUGUAGUAGUUGCUGAUUUUCAUGCAUAGUGUAUUCAGAACAGUUACACUGAAAAGGAAUCCUUGUAAAAAUAGGUCCCAAAAUGAGGAAGUAUGGGGGAUAAGGAGUCUUUCUAUUGACAGUUUAAUCUGCAGGUCCAGAUAACCCUGGAGACUUAAAGUUGAGUGCAACAAAGGAGAAGCUGUCAGUCCAAAAGUCUGUAAGACCUCAUAAAGUGUUUCUGGUCGCUAAUCAGUAGGAAAUGCCUAGUGAGAACAGAGGAGGUAGCUGGUUUGUUUAUAACAAUAAAUCUCAAAAAUCUUGAGCCACUUCAGGAAGGGUGAUAUCAGCCAGUGCCCAUUUGUCUGAGUUGGGUAGUAAGAUGGCUGUCAUGUUAAAGUCAGUUCUUUUAAAAUAAUGGAAAAGAAAACAUGGGAUUUCUUUCAUAAGGAAUAAAAGGGUAGAAAUGUAACUAGUACCAGUAAGUGUGGCUUAGGGAAAAAUUAUCUUGGUAGACACACCAAACUUCAUUACUUGAGUAGGUGAGAAGCUUCAGCACAACAAAAUUGUUUAGAUGGAGCAGACUUGGUUAAGGUGCUUCAUACUACACACACUGCCUCCUUUAGUUUUAGGAUCAUGUGUUAUAUGGCAUAAGAGCUGAUGGACUGACAGUUGUGAAGAAAAACAUAGCAUUGCAGAAAAAACCUAACAAUUGGAUUGUUCAAAGAGGUGGGACCUUAGUUAUGGCCCAAAACUCCUGUUGUGGUCUAGAAGUCAUCAUAGAGUCAUUCCUGUUUUUAUUUGUGACUGUGAUGAAGUUGCUGGAAUAAGUACGUAGAGAUGAUGAGGAAAAGACAAUAAUGCAGAAACAUCACACAGGCUGGAUUACUUUGUAAAUUGAACCACUUAGUAUGUUAUGUCUUAAUCUGUCCAAGUGCAAAAUUAAGUGUCUAGGAUUAAUGAAUGCAAAUCAUGUACCUGGAGGAUAUUUCUGAAUCCUGGAAAGCUGAAACUUUAGAAAAGAUUAAAGGAACUCAAUCACAAGACACCUCAAAACAGCCUCAUGUUCAUGUGGGACAGAAAGGGCUGGUGCUGUUUGCGUAUGCUCACAGUGGAGUAGGUAGUAGAAAUAACGUGAGCUUGCAUCUGCUGGGUGAUGCUUUUUAAAUAGACCAAAAACUGGAGAGGCCACAAAGAAUUAUAAAAGAAUAUGAAUGCUUAAAAAGUUGUUAGCUGUUUAAUACCAAUAAGAACAAAAAAAAAAGUAGACAUUAACUAUAUAGUUCUUUCCUGGUAAUAGGAAUUCAUUUCAGUCUAAAGAGAGACAUGGAUUGCCGGAGUUUAAACAAGAUAUAUUUGAGCAAAAAAAAGACUUUGCUUCCUAAGUGAUAAAUGGUGAUCAACCACAAGCAAAACAAUGGAUGGGAUGGGUCUUCCUCCCCACGAUGCCUUUACCUCCAGAUUGGAUGGCAUUUUCUGGCAUUUCUGCCCAAGUCCUUUGAUUCACAAAGGAGUGAGUGAAAUUUAAUGGCUUAUGCUAUAAAGAAAUUGAUAUUAGGCCAUCUUUUGUAAUCCUCCUCUGCCUUUUCACAAGUGGAAGCAGGUAGAGGUAUCUAGAAGAAUAUAGUUUCUUGGAGUCCUGUUUAUUAGUAGACUGAUGUUUUCUAUCUAAGAAUAGUUUCAAAUCAUUUUUUGGCUCUAUCAAAACAUGCUCAGGCCUAGUUACUAUUAAUAGACAAUAGAUUUUCCUGUCCAUUGCGUAGUCUUCACAGCGCUGUUUAGAAUUUCCAAAGAAUUGUCCAGACGUUAAUUUGUGUUUGUAAGUUAAAUUACUAUUAUUAUCCAAUACAAACCUGUGAAGACAGUGAUUUCGGUAGAGUCCUCUAGUGUACAUGCUGAAGUGCUUGCUGUCAGACAGCAAUGCCUGUUUGUCUCCUCUCUUUUUCAUUCUCAGACUUACAGAAUUGAUAUUGCAGAUAAUGCCAAGCCUUUAAUGGCUGUCUGACACCCUAUUCCUGGUUGGUUUUGCUGCUGGCUUGGGAAGGGUUCUUUCUAUGGCCACCACAAGUACAUACUGCCAUCACUAGUCCUUCAUUAUCUCUUAGCAACCAUUUGGUCCUUCACAAAAAAUGUCCCAGGCUAGAUGGUCUCAAGAGUUUCCAUGCAAGACCAAUAAAGAAUGGGCUGUGACCCACAGAAGGAAAUAUGGCAGGAAUUAUUGAAUCACAGCUUCUGUGCCUAAAAUGGCUCUGAAAACAAAAUAAGGUUCUGUGACUCCCCUCACCUGGGGCAAAAAUCACGGUGAGAAAACAGUUGCUGGAACCUCCCAAAGCAGCUCUGGUUAUUGCUGUCAGCUGUGACAGAGGCAUGUGGCCUUGCACAAAAUCUCGGUGGAUGAAGCAGAACCCCUUGAAAAUCCCUACAGAAAGGACAGGCCAAGUUAUCUGGAAUUCACAGGGUUUCAUCCAUGGUGUGAAGCGUUGCACUUUGUUAUGGCCAAGGAACCAACAUCAUGGAAUUAAGCAAAAUCAUAGCAAAGGAGAGGCACAGUCAGACCAAAAGAACAUGAGAUGCUCCAAGCUGUGAAGCGAUAAUAUGAGGAGUCAGGGCUUGCCAUCCAUUCUGGACAGGGGAAUGAGAGGCCUACAUGAUUAAUCUCUCUGGUUGGUAGGAGAUCCUAAGACUAUAAAACUGCCCAGGUCUCAAUCAGUGUAUGUCAUUCAUAGGCACCGAGUGGCAAUUGUUUAAUAACCUUGCAUUCCUCCCCGAAGGCACAGUUCACAGAAUGGUUUGGGUUGGAAGUGCUCUGAAAGAUCACCUAGAUGCAACCCCCUGCCACAGGCAGGGAAACUUUCACUACACCAGGUUGUUCGUCAUUAUUGGUGGCAAGCUGCUCACAAGUAGAGGCUUCUCUGUUAGUUAUCUGCCUCAUUGAAGACACACAACUCCAGGACAGUCACCUGCCAUGUCCCCUGGCUUCAGCAGCUGCCAGUCUUGGGUUUGCUGCAAGACCUGCUCCCACCAGGCAGUAUCCUCACCACGGAGCUUGAGACUGCAGCAGCUUGGUGUGCUGCCCAUCACCGGCCCCUGGGAGCCCGUGAAGGGGCUUUGACCCAUCCAUCUGCACUUUUUUGAUUGCUGGUGUUCAGGGUGCUCCCUGAGAGAGCUGAAGAAAGAACUGGCUUGGUGUUGGCAGGAAGCUUUAUGUAGUUUCUGGGAAGCAAGGCUUGGAAAGGGGCCCAGGCUGUCACAGUGCCUGUGUUUUGGGUAGCAUCUGGCCUGAUGUCUGUCAGAACAAAUGGCUGGCCACUGAGACAGGCACGUUCCAGCCAACACUACACAUGCAGACAAAGCCACCAGCUCGUUUCAGUCCAUGAUGCUUGGGGACAAAAGUGCCAUAUGCACUUGUCUCCAAUUCUAGGGUGAAUUUAGACAACCAGAGCUGGGAUGUGCACCGAACUGCCCGUGCAUACAGGCAGCCACAAUGCUUGGGAGCCAAAGGCUUGAGGGCAAAGAAAGAGAAUGAAGCUGUAAGAAAUACUUUCUUUGAUGAAAAUGUAGUUGCAAUGAAUGAAGUAGUGAAACAAAGAUUGACCUUUACAAUUAUGUGUUAGUACACAAAAUUCCUUUGAAGAAAUUGACACUAAAAAUGCUCAUUAAGUAAAGCAAAAUAUCUUUCAAAGGUUUUCAUGGCAUUAUAAGAAAUUAUUUUAUCAAGUCUCAGCAUAGACAAUGCUGGGAUCUGUGUAACCCUGAAAAAUAAGGUAGUGGAGGAAUAUCUGUGAAACAAGUAUGGCAGUGUUCAUUUGGUGAAAUUUCUUCAUGAUAAGGCUGGAAUAUUGGAUAGCAAAGGAGUGGGAAAUACACAAACUGAACAGUAAAACAUGAUCAGAGAAUCUUAUUUGUUGUUUGGUAUCUGAAAACUGUAUUUGAACUUAAACUUUCUAGUGGUUCCUACUUAUAAAAAAAGAAUAUUUAAAAAAUGUGUUCAGAUAUACCAGGCUGAUGACCAAUUGACAAUGCUUUUCAUUCCAAUAUUAACAUGUAUCUUAGAGAACCGUGUCCAGUGUAAAAAAUCCCACAGUGUUGGGACCCAGAAGAGGAAUGCAAGGCUCUUGUGUUUGGUCUGUCUGUGCUGUGCUACACAGGAUAUUUGUAGAGAAGGAUCAGAAGAGGGUCCAGAUAUUCAGUCUAUGUCUUUUCUCUUUCAGUUAUACGAGGUCAGUAGGUUGGAACUGACCUAAUAGGUUUAAAUCAGUGAAACUGUUGUAAGGCCAGUAUCUGUAGAGCUGCCUAUAUCUCAGAUAACCUCUCUACUUAAAAAUACCAGCAAUGUGCAGUGUAAUGUCACUUACUUUGAAGCUGACAUUUUGCAUUGUACAGGUUUUCAGUUGCUCGUAAAACUUUGCCAGCUUUCACAAGCCUGAAAUUUUCCCUAAGGGGUGUUGGCCUCGAAAUGAAUUUUUUGGUGAAGACUCCAGACACAGUUUUGUCAGCUGCCUCAGAUC